ACUAACUUCAAAUAAAAUGACUACGUAAGAUACUUAAGCCAAGUGGCAAGUGUCCAUUGGUUGACGGGUGACAGGUGAAAGAUACUUGUCUCAAGGCAUCCGUUCAUAUUGGGCAAGAAUAAUAGUGGGAAAUACUGCUACAUCAAAAUGAAUAAGGUUUUGGAGAUUAAUGUGGAGAUUCAAAAAUUAUAUAAAACGACUUGCUUUUACUCUUGAGACACCCCUGAAUGUUUUUCCAAAG
rnacentral:lncRNA from 1 species